rnacentral:rRNA from 1 species
AUUGAACGCUGGCGGCAGGCCUAACACAUGCCAGUCGAACGGUAACAGGAAGAAGCUUGCUUCUUUGCUGACGAGUGGCGGACGGGUGAGUAAUGUCUGGGAAACUGCCUGAUGGAGGGGGAUAACUACUGGAAACGGUAGCUAAUACCGCAUAACGUCGCAAGACCAAAGAGGGGGACCUUCGGGCCUCUUGCCAUCGGAUGUGCCCAGAUGGGAUUAGCUAGUAUGUGGGGUAACGGCUCACCUAGGCGACGAUCCCUAGCUGGUCUGAGAGGAUGACCAGCCACACUGGAACUGAGACACGGUCCAGACUCCUACGGGAGGCCGCAGUGGGGAAUAUUGCACAAUGGGCGCAAGCCUGAUGCAGCCAUGCCGCGUGUAUGAAGAAGGCCUUCGGGUUGUAAAGUACUUUCAGCGGGGAGGAAGGGAGUAAAGUUAAUACCUUUACUCAUUGACGUUACCCGCAGAAGAAGCACCGGCUAACUCCGUG